CACGCGUACCCAUCCCGAACACGACCGUUAAGACCUCCAGCGCCGAUGGUACUUGGACCGAAGGGUCCUGGGAGAGUAGGACGUUGCCAAGC
rnacentral:rRNA from 1 species